UACGAAGGGGGCGAGCGUUGUUCGGAUUUAUUGGGCGUAAAGCGCGUGUAGGCGGCGUGACAAGUCGGGUGUGAAAGCCCUCAGCUCAACUGAGGAAGUGCGCCCGAAACUGUCGUGCUUGAGUGUCGGAGAGGGUAGCGGAAUUCCCCAAGUAGAGGUGAAAUUCGUAGAUAUGGGGAGGAACACCGGUGGCGAAGGCGGCUACCUGGACGACUACUGACGCUGAGACGCGAAAGCGUGGGGAGCAAACAGG
rnacentral:rRNA from 1 species